UAGGGAAUCUUCCGCAAUGGACGCAAGUCUGACGGAGCAACGCCGCGUGAGUGAAGAAGGAUUUCGGUUCGUAAAACUCUGUUGUUAGAGAAGAACAGCGCAUAGAGUAACUGUUAUGCGUGUGACGGUAUAUAACCAGAAAGCCACGGCUAACUACGUGCCAGCAGCCGCGGUAAUACGUAGGUGGCAAGCGUUGUCCGGAUUUAUUGGGCGUAAAGCGAGCGCAGGCGGUUAGAAAAGUCUGAAGUGAAAGGCAGUGGCUCAACCAUUGUAGGCUUUGGAAACUGUUUAACUUGAGUGCAGAAGGGGAGAGUGGAAUUCCAUGUGUAGCGGUGAAAUGCGUAGAUAUAUGGAGGAACACCGGUGGCGAAAGCGGCUCUCUGGUCUGUAACUGACGCUGAGGCUCGAAAGCGUGGGGAGCGAACAGG
rnacentral:rRNA from 1 species